rnacentral:rRNA from 1 species
UACAGAGGUCUCAAGCGUUGUUCGGAUUCAUUGGGCGUAAAGGGUGCGUAGGCGGCGCGGUAAGUCGGGUGUGAAAUCUUGGAGCUUAACUCCGAAACUGCAUUCGAUACUGCCGUGCUUGAGGACUGGAGAGGAGACUGGAAUUUACGGUGUAGCGGUGAAAUGCGUAGAUAUCGUAGGGAAGACCAGUGGCGAAGGCGGGUCUCUGGACAGUUCCUGACGCUGAGGCACGAAGGCCAGGGGAGCAAACGGG